GUGAAGUAAGGCCGCUAGCUUACUUCACUUAAGAGAUCAAAUGUCUUAAGUGAAGUAAGCUAGCGGCCAAGGAC